UAUGUGUUAUAAUUAUGUUAAAAUGGAUAUAUGGAACUAUUUUCUUGGACGUGUUCUGAAAACCUCGUGAGUUAUUGAUCGUGUAAUAUUAUGUGCAUCCCUUUGCGAGGCUAUCUCCCCGCGUGCGUUCGUCCGGGCGACACCUCACAGGCGGGCAGACUUGUGCAAGGCCACAAACAGACGCUGACGUAUUGUGUGGUCUUCGAAGAUUGUCCGGUUAUUUCAUUAUUGUUUGUUUAUUACGCUGUGGUUGUGGAAUUUAUUAGUGUUAAUCAGCAGUUGGUGAUUGGCAGCAUUUAUACGGUACUCCAUAUCAAGGUUCCAAAACCCGUUCCAGACCACCAUUCCUUGAGCAUCAGCUGCGUCCUUGUGUUCACUCUACCUGAACACGAGUUGUAUAAUGACGUCUGACAUCCGGAUUUUUUAACUCUUUUUGUAUACCAGAAAGAAAAAGUAUGAGUUGAGAACUGUGACAGGUGGGUGUCUGCAGUUCAAAGGUCACAGCGGCGAAGAGAUUCAACCGGCUGUUUGAGAAAAACAGGUAGAGUGACCAUGCGAAUAGACAAACGAUUUUCAGACGCAUUCUCGUUUCUGCAGUGCGCCGUUAAAAUAUCUUCGGCCGUCCAUGCACAUCAGACAAUAUGAGAAAGGUUGAACGAAUUUUCAUGAAAAUGUGCGAAAUGUUUCUAAAAUCUGUCGCUACAUUUUUGCAAAAUUGGACAAUAACUGACAGUUUACGUGAAGACUUUCAUGUGUCUGCGCUCCGAAGCGAUUCGGUCGGGAGUUCCCUAGUCGUCAUCGAAGGUCAGAUUCUGGUGAACGCGAUGUUCAGACGUGCUUAAUAGCUAACCGAACAUCUUUCUUGUUUGUGGUACCGAGCUGUCUGUUAACGGAGCGCGAAGCCAACCACAACGCCAUAUCGUGCCGAGAUUAAGAAUGAGUAGAUCUUUAACUCCACACUUUUCGUGUUGUGAUGUUAGGCGAAAAUACUACUUUACGAAGGAUGUUAACAUUGCCAUUAUUCGAGUUAUUGUGGUCCUGUUGCAGAGAUAUCGAUUUUUUCGGAUAUCAGCCGUUGUAAACGUUUAAUUGGUGUUACCAGAGAUGAGCUGUACCGGGAGCAGGUGAUAACAUCGACCAGAAUUUGGAAAUGUUGAACGAUUUUAAAUGUGAAACUGACUAUAAACACUGCAUGUGAUGUAUUACAUACCUCUCCAGUCUUUAUUUAAUAAAUUGCUCUGACAGUGUGAUUGUA